rnacentral:rRNA from 1 species
GAACUGCGCGAACGUUAUUCGGAAUCACUGGGCUUACAGGGUGCGUAGGCGGCCAACCAGGUCAGGUGUGAAAUCCCACGGCUCAACCGUGGAACUGCGCUUGAAACCGGAUGGCUUGAGUGAGCUAGGGGUGCACGGAACUUCCAGUGGAGCGGUGAAAUGUGUUGAUAUUGGAAGGAACACCAGAAGCGAAGGCGGUGCACUGGGGCUUGUCUGACGCUGAGGCACGAAAGCUAGGGGGUAGCGAACGGGAUUAGAUACCCCGGUAGUCCUAGCCGUAAACGAUGAGCACUAGGCGGAGGGGGGGUUCGCCCCUUCUCGGCCGGAGCGAAAGCGUUAAGUGCUCCGCCUGGGGAGUAUGGUCGCAAGGCUG